ensembl:rRNA 5S_rRNA 5S ribosomal RNA
GCUUACGGUCACACCAGCCUGAAUACGCCCGAUCUUGUCUGAUUUCGUAAGCUAAGCAAGGUCGGGCCUGGUUAGUACUUGGAUGGGAGACCGCUUGGGAAUACCAGGUGCUGUAAGCU